CAAAGAUUAAGCCAUGCAUGUCUCAGUACAAGCCAAAUUAAGGUGAAACCGCGAAAGGCUCAUUAAAUCAGUUAUGGUUCCUUAGAUCGUACCCACAUUUACUUGGAUAACUGUGGUAAUUCUAGAGCUAAUACAUGCAAACAGAGCUCCGACCGGAGACGGAAGGAGCGCUUUUAUUAGAUCAAAACCAAUCGGUGGCGGGUCUCCCGUCACCGUACACCUUGGUGACUCUGAAUAACUUAUUGCUGAUCGCACGGUCUCGCACCGGCGACGCAUCUUUCAAAUGUCUGCCUUAUCAACUGUCGAUGGUAGGUUCUGCGCCUACCAUGGUUGUAACGGGUAACGGGGAAUCAGGGUUCGAUUCCGGAGAGGGAGCCUGAGAAACGGCUACCACAUCCAAGGAAGGCAGCAGGCGCGCAAAUUACCCACUCCCGGCACGGGGAGGUAGUGACGAAAAAUAACGAUACGGGACUCAUCCGAGGCCCCGUAAUCGGAAUGAGUACACUCUAAACCCUUUAACGAGGAUCAAUUGGAGGGCAAGUCUGGUGCCAGCAGCCGCGGUAAUUCCAGCUCCAAUAGCGUAUAUUAAAGUUGUUGCGGUUAAAAAGCUCGUAGUCGAAUUUGUGUCCCGCGCCGCCGGUUCAUCGCUCGCGGUGUCAACUGGCGUGUCCGCGGGACGUCCUGCCGGUGGGCUUAGCCCCAAUGUGGGCGGCCCAAUCUCAAUCCCACCGCGGUGCUCUUCACUGAGUGUCGAGGUGGGCCGGCACGUUUACUUUGAACAAAUUAGAGUGCUUAAAGCAGGCUAAAACAUCGCCUGAAUACUGUGUGCAUGGAAUAAUGGAAUAGGACCUCGGUUCUAUUUUGUUGGUUUUCGGAACCCCGAGGUAAUGAUUAAUAGGAACGGAUGGGGGCAUUCGUAUUGCGACGUUAGAGGUGAAAUUCUUG
rnacentral:rRNA from 1 species